AGGGUUUGAUUAUGGCUCAGGAUGAACGCUGGCGGCGUGCUUAACACAUGCAAGUCGAACGAUUAACCCGCCCUCGGGCGGUUAUAGAGUGGCGAACGGGUGAGUAACACGUGACCAACCUGCCCCUUGCUCCGGGACAACCCAGGGAAACCUCGGCUAAUACCGGAUACUCCGCGCAGCCCGCAUGGGAGGCGCGGGAAAGCCCAGACGGCAAGGGAUGGGGUCGCGGCCCAUUAGGUAGACGGCGGGGUAACGGCCCACCGUGCCCGCGAUGGGUAGCCGGGUUGAGAGACCGAUCGGCCACAUUGGGACUGAGAUACGGCCCAG
rnacentral:rRNA from 1 species